UACGAAGGGGGCUAGCGUUGCUCGGAAUUACUGGGCGUAAAGCGCACGUAGGCGGCUUUCUAAGUCGGGGGUGAAAUCCCGAGGCUCAACCUCGGAACUGCCUUCGAUACUGGCGAUCUUCGAGUCCGGGAGAGGUGAGUGGAACUCCGAGUGUAGAGGUGAAAUUCGUAGAUAUUCGGAAGAACACCAGUGGCGAAGGCGGCUCACUGGCCCGGUACUGACGCUGAGAUACGAAAGCGUGGGGAGCAAACAGG
rnacentral:rRNA from 1 species